UACGGAGGGUGCAAGCGUUGUUCGGAAUUACUGGGCGUAAAGCGCGCGUAGGCGGCUUUGUAAGUUGGGAGUGAAAUCCCGGGGCUUAACUCCGGAAUUGCUUUCAAAACUACAAAGCUAGAGUAUGGUAGGGGACAGUGGAAUUCCUAGUGUAGAGGUGAAAUUCGUAGAUAUUAGGAGGAACACCGGUGGCGAAAGCGACUGUCUGGACCAUUACUGACGCUGAGGCGCGAAAGCGUGGGGAGCAAACAGG
rnacentral:rRNA from 1 species